CGAGAAGUCCACUGAACCUAAUCAUCUAGAGGAAGGAGAAUUCGUAACAAGGUUUCCGUAGGAGAACCUGCGGAAGGAUCAUUG
rnacentral:rRNA from 1 species